rnacentral:ncRNA from 1 species
AGGUGUUUUCUAGUUCCUUUUUUUGACGAUGACGAAUGUGUCGUCUACAUAACGAAUCGAAAUUCUUGGUUUGAUCACUGGUAGAAUUGUGGUUUCUAGUCGUUGCAUUACUGCAUCCUCGAUGAGUCCUGUUAUUGGUGAUCCCAUUGGUGUACCUUUUGUUUGUUUGUUGAUUUUGUUAUUGAAUUGGAAAUAUGUUGUUACACAUAAAUCGAUGAGUUCAAGUAGGCUUUGACUUUGACCAUCCAGCUCAGAUAACAAACUAACAUCAAAAUCACCCACCUGAGCUACAAAUCUUCUCCACCAUCUCAAAAUCAUAGGAGCGUAGUACGCUUCUCGUUUUUCGAAAAUGGGAGAAUUUCUCCAAAAGUCAAGCUUCCACUCGAGAACAACUAUAUUUUCUUCACGAGUGCAUUCGCCAGCAUGUUCUGCCAACAAGUGUAAGAUACAGACCUCCAAUCAACUGCCCACUAGGAUGGAAAAUAGCUGAGCAAAGUGGAAGAAAAAUUGUUCAUCUAAUGAUAAUGGACACACAUUACAGGAUCCGAAAAUACCCACAUGUCAUAGAGGACCAAAAGAGGAAGCUACAACAGACAUUCACACCAGAACAUUUCGAAACCUUGACAACAGCCAUCGAAACAUUAUGCAAAAGACACAGAGAAAAAAGAAGAAACAUCCUUAAAAAGAAUACAAUCAAAAUCUCAAAACUGACCAUUGAUCGUAAGGCACUGUGGUGUUUAGGGUUGCUUCAGGCAUUACUGCUCUGUCCCAAGUUCAGCAAUGAGUACGGCUUCCCAUUCUGGCCUAAAGAGGGUGAAAGGCCCGUGGGGGCAGAGAUCAAGUGUGACAGUUUUGCUCUGAGCUACCCUUGGAGUCGGGUUGUUUGUGAAUGCACUCCAAUGGGUGGUAAACUCCAUCCAAGGCUAAAUACUUACACGNNNNNNNNNNNNNNNNNNNNNNNNNNNNNNNNNNNNNNNNNNNNNNNNNNNNNNNUGGCCCGAAAGUGUUGGGCAAACUGUUUCAUCACCGUCGUGACUGGGAUCGGGGCUUGCAAUUAUUCCCCGUGAACGAAGAAUUCCUGGUAAGUGCAAGUCAUAAGCUUGCGCUGAUUACAUCCCUGCCCUUUGUACACACCGCCCGUCGCUACUACCGAUUGAAUGGUUUAGUGAGGUCGUUGGAUUGGGGUCGUUGUAGUGGCUUUGCCGUUCGACUGAUGCUGAGAAGAUGACCUAAUUUGACUAUUUAGAGGAAGUAAAAGUCGUAACAAGGUAUCCGUAGGUGAACGUGCGGAAGGAUCAUUA